AUAUGGACCUUGCAGAGGACAUACCACUGUCACAAGGGUGGCCUUCCCAUAGGGAGGCUUAUCCAUUGCACUCCGGGUGUGCCGGCCCUUGAGAUUUCCCUCAAUGUGGGAAACUCAACUUGCCUGCACAGUUUGCAGUGGUGGGAGACUGCGUUCACACUCUCCCC